GAUGAAGAACGUAGUGAAAUGCGAUAAGUAAUGUGAAUUGCAGAAUUCAGUGAAUCAUCGAAUCUUUGAACGCACAUUGCGCCCGCCAGUAUUCUGGCGGGCAUGCCUGUUCGAGCGUCAUUACAACCCUCAGGCCCCCGGGCCUGGCGUUGGGGAUCGGCGGAAGCCCCCUGUGGGCACACGCCGUCCCUCAAAUACAGUGGCGGUCCCGCCGCAGCUUCCAUUGCGUAGUAGCUAACACCUCGCAACUGGAGAGCGGCGCGGCCAUGCCGUAAAACACCCAACUUCUGAAUGUUGACCUCGAAUCAGGUAGGAAUACCCGCUGAACUUAAGCAUAUCAAUAAGGGAGGA
rnacentral:misc_RNA from 1 species